AAGUUAUCAAAAACACUAGUAAUAUACUAAUAAUUUAUAAUCAAUGUUUAAAAGUCACCAACAUGUGCUUAAAUUUCAAAAUUUCAAGUGUUUUUUCAGUUAUUCCUGUGAAUUUACGUUCUUGGGAAUCUGCACUUUUAGCCCCUAGUCUGAUGCACCAGAUUGGUAAAAAUUCAGUCUCAGAAGAACAAAAAUUGAACAAUGUUGUGUGUUCAUAUAAUUUAGAGUAAUUAUAAUUAUAUAUAAAUACAUAAUAGGUGUUGGAUGGCUGUUUAAUGUUCAGCUGCAUUCA
rnacentral:lncRNA from 1 species